rnacentral:rRNA from 1 species
GAGUUUGAUCCUGGCUCAGGAUGAACGCUAGCGAUAGGCUUAACACAUGCAAGUCGAGGGGCAGCGCAAAGAGCAGCAAUGUUUUUGGCGGCGACCGGCGAAUGGGUGAGUAACACGUAUGCAACCUGCCUUUAACAGGGGGAUAACCCGUUGAAAGACGGACUAAUACUCCAUAACACAGGGGUUCCGCAUGGAGCAAUUUGUUAAAGAUUUAUCGGUUAAAGAUGGGCAUGCGUUCCAUUAGUUAGUUGGUGAGGUAACGGCUCACCAAGGCAACGAUGGAUAGGGGAACUGAGAGGUUAACCCCCCACAUUGGUACUGAGACACGGACCAAACUCCUGCGGGAGGCAGCAGUGAGGAAUAUUGGUCAAUGGACGCAAGUCUGAACCAGCCACGUCGCGUGAAGGAAGACGGCCCUAUGGGUUGUAAACUUCUUUUAUAAGAGAGUAAAAAGGCCUACGUGUAGGUCAUUGCAAGUAUCUUAUGAAUAAGGAUCGGCUAACUCCGUGCAAGCAGCCGCGGUAAUACGGAGGAUCCGAGCGUUAUCCGGAUUUAUUGGGUUUAAAGGG